CAUCAUCCUCACCAUCUUAUUAAUCUGACAAGAGAUUUAUUUGUUAUGUCUAACUCAAGUUCAUCGUAGUUUCUUAAAUACACAGCGGCGUUUAAACUAAGAGUUAUCAAAACUAUGUUUGUUUUUUUGAAAAAGGGCUUAUCAAAAUUAUGUUUUCAACUCUUUUAUUCAUUUAGAGAUGAUUUCGAAUCUGUUUGUUUAUUAUGAUUUUAUUUUUUUUCUGUAUCCAGGUGACUCUCAUGCUAGCCACCGUCAACUCCACCGCCUCACUCGGUGCGUCACCUGUCUCUCCUCUAUUGAUACGGUUCCAUGAUUCAACCACUUUGGAUGAGAUAACGGAGUCACCUAAUCAAGUUGAGUGCACUCUGCCACAUUAGUUAGAUGUAAAGGCUUUAUCUUCAACCAUAUAGUGUUCAUCAUCAGAGUUGAAGAGUUAUGAAGUAUCACUUUCCAGAAACGUUCAUUCUCGCCCAAUCAAAGUAAAAUGGUCUGUGCAAGUGCAUUAUUUUAUUAUGGAUCUAGACCCCAGACUUUGAGCAAGAUCGUAGAGGUAGCCGAACGUAUAGCCAAAUUGGCCAUGCAUUCAAUAUCGUGAAGAUGCUUACCACAAGGUUGUGAUGUGAUUGGUAUUGACGAAGCUCAGUUCUCUGGAAAUCUUUAUGAGUUUUGCUGAUGCAAAGACGCUGAUGAUGAUGGCAAAACGGGCAUUGUUGCAGUCGUUGAUGGUGAUUAUUUAAGGAGCUUCGGUGAUGUUCUUGAAUAUUUACCAAUAACUGAUUCUGUGACAAAGCUUACUGCAAGGUGUGAUGUUUGUGGACAGAAAGGUUUCUUCACUGUGAGGAAGACUUGUGACACCAGAACCGAGCUGAUGGGUGGGGCUAAGGUCUGUAUCCCUGUUUGUCUUAAGCAUUAUGUCAAUAAUCAAAUUGUCAUCAAAGCUUCAAAGUAAGUUUUGGAUUCUGACAAGGCAAGAGCUGACACCUGUGUGGAGACAGUUGCUGCUAUGAUCUAACUAUGAAUUGAUGCGAAACGCACUACACAUAUAAUAUAGUGAGAUUCUGUUUUUUGAAGGUGCCAUGUUUGUUUGCUGCUAAGUUUUGAAUCUUAUGUCAUUUUAUCAAAACAUGAAGGUUGCCGAUCAU